UCUGUUAGAUCCUUCAUGAUUAAAGUCUUCUCAGGAUUGCAGAAUAUUCACAGAAAAGCUUGUGUUAACACAAGGAAGCAGUGUGGAAACAAUCAGCUGGGGAGAAAGAAUAAAGAGAGCUGC